rnacentral:rRNA from 1 species
ACGCUAGCGGCAGGCUUAAUACAUGCAAGGCGAGGGGGCAGCAAUGUCACCGUCGUACGGGUGCGUAACGCGUAUGCAACCUACCUUCAACUGGGGGAUAGCCCGGGGAAACCCGGAUUAAUACCGCAUAAUACAGGGGGCCCACAUGGGUCUAUUUGUUAAAGAUUUAUUGGUUGAAGAUGGGCAUGCGUUCGAUUAGCUAGUUGGUACGGGUAACGGCCUACCAAGGCAACGAUCGAUAGGGGAGCUGAGAGGUUGAUCCCCCACACGGGCACUGAGAUACGGGCCCGACUCCUACGGGAGGCAGCAGUAGGGAAUAUUGGGCAAUGGAUGCAAGUCUGACCCAGCCAUGCCGCGUGCCGGAUGAAGGCCCUCAGGGUUGUAAACGGCUUUUAUUCGGGAAGAAGAGCAGGGAUGCGUCCCUGUGUGACGGUACUGAAUGAAUAAGCACCGGCUAACUCCGUGCCAGCAGCCGCGGUAAUACGGGGGGUGCGAGCGUUGUCCGGAUUUAUUGGGUUUAAAGGGUGCGUAGGUGGCUUUUUAAGUCAGUGGUGAAAUACAGCCGCUCAACGGUUGAGGUGCCAUUGAUACUGAAGAGCUUGAAACAAGUGGAGGCUGCCGGAAUGGAUGGUGUAGCGGUGAAAUGCAUAGAUAUCAUCCAGAACACCGAUUGCGAAGGCAGGUGGCUACGUUUGAUUGACACUGAGGCACGAAAGCAUGGGGAGCAAAC